UUGGAUGGCAAAUGGAAGAAACGUCUGA
rnacentral:piRNA from 2 species